UCCGAUGACGGCAUGGAAUCUUUGAGACCUGAUUGUAUUUUGAUGACAACCAUAAGCAUUACCUCUAAGGUC